GCUUGCUGGGGGGAUUAGUGGCGAACGGGUGAGUAACACGUGAGUAACCUGCCCUUGACUCUGGGAUAAGCCUGGGAAACUGGGUCUAAUACCGGAUAUGACUCCUCAUCGCAUGGUGGGGGGUGGAAAGCUUUUGUGGUUUUGGAUGGACUCGCGGCCUAUCAGCUUGUUGGUGGGGUAAUGGCCUACCAAGGCGACGACGGGUAGCCGGCCUGAGAGGGUGACCGGCCACACUGGGACUGAGACACGGCCCAGACUCCUACGGGAGGCAGCAGUGGGGAAUAUUGCACAAUGGGCGGAAGCCUGAUGCAGCGACGCCGCGUGAGGGAUGACGGCCUUCGGGUUGUAAACCUCUUUCAGUAGGGAAGAAGCCGCGAGGUGACGGUACCUGCAGAAGAAGCGCCGGCUAACUACGUGCCAGCAGCCGCGGUAAUACGUAGGGCGCAAGCGUUAUCCGGAAUUAUUGGGCGUAAAGAGCUCGUAGGCGGUUUGUCGCGUCUGCUGUGAAAGACCGGGGCUCAACUCCGGUUCUGCAGUGGGUACGGGCAGACUA
rnacentral:rRNA from 2 species